AAGUCGUAACAAGGUAACCGUAGGUGAACCUGCGGUUGGAUCAUUAGUGGUUUUUACGUAGCGCUGUUGUAGUGUUUCUGUGUGGGGUGUGUGGUCUUUGGUUUUGGUGUUGUCUUUUUGUUUGUCUGUUUUUGUGCAUUGCCUUGUGCGAUGUCUUGUGCAUUGCCUUGUGCGAUGUCUUGUGCCUUGCCUUGUGCAUUGCCUUGUGCGGUGCCUUGUGCGGUGCCUGGCAGUACAAACGAUCGACGGCAACACUCGGACCAGACCCAAGCCCUUGCAGACAAUAGACGUCUUUGCUUGCUUUGAUGAAACCAAAUCAAAAACAACUUUUGACAACGGAUCUCUUGGCUCUC
rnacentral:misc_RNA from 1 species